AUCUGAUAUUGUGGACAUCUGGUGCACAAUUUAUUGAAUCAUUCCCAGUACUCAUAGAAGGAUUCCCCACGUUGUUGUUUGAUUCCGCAUAUCUCCUUUCUCAAACU